GUAAAGGCUCACCAAGCCGACGAUCUGUAGCUGGUCUGAGAGGACGACCAGCCACACUGGGACUGAGACACGGCCCAGACUCCUACGGGAGGCAGCAGUGGGGAAUUUUGGACAAUGGGCGCAAGCCUGAUCCCAGCAAUGCCGCGUGCAGGAUGAAGGCCUUCGGGUUGUAAACUGCUUUGUACGGAACGAAACGGUGAGCUCUAAUACAGUUUGCUAAUGACGGUACCGUAAGAAUAAGCACCGGCUAACUACGUG
rnacentral:rRNA from 1 species